rnacentral:misc_RNA from 1 species
GUACCCUCAAGCUUUGCUUGGUGUUGGGCGUUUUUGUCUUGGGUCCGCCCCGAGACUCGCCUUAAAAUCAUUGGCAGCCGGCCUACUGGUUUCGGAGCGCAGCACAUUUUUUGCGCUUUGGUCUAGUGGUCCAGCGUCCAUGAAGCGAAUAUUUUCA